rnacentral:rRNA from 1 species
GCUUACGGCCACACCUCCCUGAGCACGCCCGAUCUCGUCUGAUCUCGGAAGCUAAGCAGGGUCGGCCCGGUUAGUACUUGUAUGGAGACCGCCUGGGAAUACCAGGUGCUGUAAGCC